UUACAGGCUUAACACAUGCAAGUCGAGGGGCAGCAUGGUCUUAGCUUGCUAAGGCCGAUGGCGACCGGCGCACGGGUGAGUAACACGUAUCCAACCUGCCGUCUACUCUUGGACAGCCUUCUGAAAGGAAGAUUAAUACAAGAUGGCAUCAUGAGUCCACAUGUUCACAUGAUUAAAGGUAUUCCGGUAGACGAUGGGGAUGCGUUCCAUUAGAUAGUAGGCGGGGUAACGGCCCACCUAGUCUUCGAUGGAUAGGGGUUCUGAGAGGAAGGUCCCCCACAUUGGAACUGAGACACGGUCCAAACUCCUACGGGAGGCAGCAGUGAGGAAUAUUGGUCAAUGGGCGAGAGCCUGAACCAGCCAAGUAGCGUGAAGGAUGACUGCCCUAUGGGUUGUAAACUUCUUUUAUAAAGGAAUAAAGUCGGGUAUGCAUACCCGUUUGCAUGUACUUUAUGAAUAAGGAUCGGCUAACUCCGUGCCAGCAGCCGCGGUAAUACGGAGGAUCCGAGCGUUAUCCGGAUUUAUUGGGUUUAAAGGGAGCGUAGAUGGAUGUUUAAGUCAGUUGUGAAAGUUUGCGGCUCAACCGUAAAAUUGCAGUUGAUACUGGAUAUCUUGAGUGCAGUUGAGGCAGGCGGAAUUCGUGGUGUAGCGGUGAAAUGCUUAGAUAUCACGAAGAACUCCGAUUGCGAAGGCAGCCUGCUAAGCUGCAACUGACAUUGAGGCUCGAAAGUGUGGGUAUCAAACAGGAUUAGAUACCCUGGUAGUCCACACGGUAAACGAUGAAUACUCGCUGUUUGCGAUAUACAGCAAGCGGCCAAGCGAAAGCGUUAAGUAUUCCACCUGGGGAGUACGCCGGCAACGGUGAAACUCAAAGGAAUUGACGGGGGCCCGCACAAGCGGAGGAACAUGUGGUUUAAUUCGAUGAUACGCGAGGAACCUUACCCGGGCUUAAAUUGCAGAUGAAUUACGGUGAAAGCCGUAAGCCGCAAGGCAUCUGUGAAGGUGCUGCAUGGUUGUCGUCAGCUCGUGCCGUGAGGUGUCGGCUUAAGUGCCAUAACGAGCGCAACCCUUGUUGUCAGUUACUAACAGGUUCUGCUGAGGACUCUGACAAGACUGCCAUCGUAAGAUGUGAGGAAGGUGGGGAUGACGUCAAAUCAGCACGGCCCUUACGUCCGGGGCUACACACGUGUUACAAUGGGGGGUACAGAGAGCCGCUACCACGCGAGUGGAUGCCAAUCCCAAAAACCUCUCUCAGUUCGGACUGGAGUCUGCAACCCGACUCCACGAAGCUGGAUUCGCUAGUAAUCGCGCAUCAGCCACGGCGCGGUGAAUACGUUCCCGGGCCUUGUACACACCGCCCGUCAAGCCAUGGGAGCCGGGGGUACCUGAAGUGCGUAACCGCGAGGAGCGCCCUAGGGUAAAACUGGUGACUGGGGCUA
rnacentral:rRNA from 1 species